AGCGAACGCUAGCGGCGGGCUUAACACAUGCAAGUCGAGCGCGUGGCUUCGGCCACGAGCGGCGAACGGGUGAGUAACACGUAGGUCAUCUGCCCUUUGGUGGAGAAUAACCCGAGGAAACUCGGGCUAAUACCGCAUACUGCCUUCGGGUCAAAGGCUUCGGCCGCCAGAGGAUGAGCCGGCCCACCAAGGGGACGAUGCGUAGCUGGUCUGAGAGGAUGAUCAGCCACACUGGGACUGAGACACGGCCCAGACUCCUACGGGAGGCAGCAGUGGGGAAUAUUGCGCAAUGGGGAAACCCUGACGCAGCCACGCCGCGUGGGUGAUGAAGGCC
rnacentral:rRNA from 1 species